GACGAACGCUGGCGGCGGGCUUAACACAUGCCAGUCGAACGGCAAGGCCCUGCUUUUGUGGGGUGCUCGAGUGGCGAACGGGUGAGUAACACGUGAGUAACCUGCCCUUGACUUUGGGAUGACUUCAGGCAACUGGUGCUACUACCGGAUAGGAGCUCCUGCUGCAUGGUGGGGGUUGGACAGUUUCGGCGGGUGGGGAUGGACUCCCGGCUUAUCAGCUUGUUGGUGGGGUAGUGGCUUACCAAGGCUUUGGCGGGUAGCCGGCCUGAGAGGGUGACCGGCCACAUUGGGACUGAGAGACGGCCCAGAGUCGUACGGGAGGCAGCAGUGGGGAAUAUUGCACAAUGGGCGGAAGCCUGAUGCAGCAACGCCGCGUGCGGGAUGACGGCCUUCGGGUUGUAAACCGCUUUCGCCUGUGACGAAGCGUGAGUGACGGUAAUGGGUAAAGAAGCACCGGCUAACUACGUG
rnacentral:rRNA from 1 species